rnacentral:rRNA from 1 species
UACGUAGGGGCAAGCGUUGUCCGGAAUUACUGGGCGUAAAGCGCACGCAGGCUGAAUUAUAAGUCGGUAGUCAAAGGCGGAGGCUCAACCUCUGUAUAUCUAUCGAUACUGUAAAUCUGGAGUAUGUGAGAGGGAAGCGGAAUUCCCGGUGUAGCGGUGAAAUGCGUAGAUAUUAGGAGGAACACCGGUGGCGAAGGCGGCUUACUGGACUGUAACUGACGCUGAGUCACGAAAGCGUGGGUAGCAAACAGGAUUAGAUACCCGGGUAGU